rnacentral:rRNA from 1 species
GAUGAACGCUGGCGGCAUGCUUAACACAUGCCAGUCGGACGGGAAGUGGUGUUUCCCGUGGCGGACGGGUGAGUAACGCGUAAGAACCUGCCCUGGGGAGGGGAACAACAGCUGGAUACGGCUGCUAAUACCCCGUAGGCUGAGGAGCAAAAGGAGGAAUCCGCCCGAGGGGGGGCUUGCGUCUGAUUAGCUAGUUGGUGAGGCAAUAGCUUACCAAGGCGGUGAUGAGUAGCUGGUCCGAGAGGAUGAUCAGCCACACUGGGACGGAGACACGGCCCAGACUCCUACGGGAGGCAGCAGUGGGGAAUUUUCCGCAAUGGGCGAAAGGCUGACGGAGCAAUGCGGCGGGGAGGUAGAAGGCCCACGGGUCGUGAACUGCUUUUCCCGGAGAAGAAGCAAUGACGGUACCUGGGGAAUAAGCAUCGGCUAACUCCGUG